UACGAAGGGGGCUAGCGUUGCUCGGAAUCACUGGGCGUAAAGGGUGCGUAGGCGGGUUUUAAGUCAGAGGUGAAAUCCUGGAGCUCAACUCCAGAACUGCCUUUGAUACUGAAAGUCUUGAGUAUGGGAGAGGUGAGUGGAACUGCGAGUGUAGAGGUGAAAUUCGUAGAUAUUCGGAAGAACACCAGUGGCGAAGGCGACUUACUGGACACAUAUUGACGCUGAGGUGCGAAAGCGUGGGGAGCAAACAGG
rnacentral:rRNA from 1 species